AACUUUUUGAACCUCAGAAGUUUGAAAAGUUCUCCAUAUGUUAGAAAGUGUGUCGUUCCUCACCUUUGUACUUCCUCCAAAUUGAACGACUGGGAUAGUUGUUCUGGCAGGACAGCUCACUACUCUUUUCACCUGUGGAAUACGAAGAAAAAUGUUCACACAAUCAGAAAUCCCAGGAAGUACAGAUAGAAGGGACCACCCACAACGCCCAUCCAACCCCAUUCCCCGCUAAAGUUCACAAUUAACAGAUAGUUGAGCAACUAUCCUUUAAACCACUGGUUCUUAAGCAAGCGCCGGCAGUGUAACUUGAAAUUUUUGGAUUUCCUUUUAAAAUAAAAAAAUUGCACUGGGCCGCAUUACGAGCUGACCUGGGCCGCAGGUUGGACAAGCCUGCUUUAAACCAUCCAGUUAAACCACCCAGUGAAGUAGAAAACCUUCUGAUUCAGUUUUAUUUGGCAAACGGGUUUAUUUUGUUUAAUACCAUAGUUAUAACGUAACUGUCUGAUGGUUGCUUUCUUGAUCCUGUUUGUCAUGUGAAGGGAUUGGUUCAAAAUGUUGACACUGAUUUUAUGAACUUCAGCCUGAGAAAAAGUUUAUCAUGGAAAUGCUCAUGAAAAUAAUCGCCACCGGUGAGUUACAGUCCACAGAAGAAGAUCAGAUGCCCUCUAGUGGCCAACUCUGGAAAAUUAACAACAGGUACCGUUUACUACCUGGCACUGGUGAAACUUUGAUAUGAGCAAAGAACAUCAAAUGGCAGGAUAAAGUCCAUGACACUGAAGUCCUGGAGCAAACACAGAGGACAAGCAUUUUUAUAAUCUUGAAAAAAGGACAACUUCAGUGGGCUUGACCAUAUCUCAUCAAGAUGUCAGGCAACCAUCUCCUGGAAUGUAUUUUCUAUGGAUUGCUUGUUGCUGGUGUUCAGUUGUGUGGUGGACAAAAGAAGUGAUUCAAGGAUACAUUGAAGACAAAGUUGAAAGAAUGUAAUAUUGACCCUGUCAAUUGGGAAGCUCUCGUUCAAAUCCGAAACAUCUGGUAAAACACUGUCAAAUGAGGGGCUAAAGAAUUCGAAGCAAAAAAGAAUCAGAGAUGCACAAAGAAAAGAGAGAAGUGAGAAAGCAAGGAUGUAACAUCUUGACAGUCUAACAAGCCCAAGAACAGCUAAUUGGCUCCUGCAUCUCUCAAGCUUAUAUUAACUAGCAUUAGCCACCUGUGUGUCCAUCAAUGCAACUCAACCUUAAUAAAGGAUGAACUAUGUAUCCA
rnacentral:lncRNA from 1 species